UUAACUGAAACCAAAAAGAGGUAUAUUACUGUUAAUAAUAAAAUUGAAUUAUAAAUUCCAGUUAAG
rnacentral:tRNA from 1 species